UACGGAGGGUGCAAGCGUUGUCCGGAAUCACUGGGUGUAAAGGGCGCGUAGGCGGCUCAUGAAGGCUGUGGUGAAAGUCCGGGGCUCAACCUCGGAUCGGCCGUGGCGACUCGUGGGCUGGAGCACUGUAGAGGCGGGUGGAAUUCCGGGUGUAGCGGUGGAAUGCGUAGAGAUCCGGAAGAACACCAGUGGCGAAGGCGGCCCGCUGGGCAGUGGCUGACGCUGAAGCGCGACAGCGUGGGGAGCAAACAGG
rnacentral:rRNA from 1 species